UCUCGGCAACGGAUAUCUCGGCUCUCGCAUCGAUGAAGAACGUAGCAAAAUGCGAUACCUGGUGUGAAUUGCAGAAUCCCGCGAACCAUCGAGUUUUUGAACGCAAGUUGCGCCCGAGGCCUUCUGGUCGAGGGCACGUCUGCCUGGGCGUCACGC
rnacentral:rRNA from 1 species